UGUCGGAUUAGCUAGUUGGCGGGGUAAAGGCCCACCAAGGCGACGAUCCGUAGCUGGUCUGAGAGGAUGAUCAGCCACACUGGAACUGAGACACGGUCCAGACUCCUACGGGAGGCAGCAGUGGGGAAUAUUGGACAAUGGGCGCAAGCCUGAUCCAGCCAUACCGCGUGGGUGAAGAAGGCCUUCGGGUUGUAAAGCCCUUUUGUUGGGAAAGAAAUCCAGCCGGCUAAUACCUGGUUGGGAUGACGGUACCCAAAGAAUAAGCACCGGCUAACUUCGUGCCAGCAGCCGCGGUAAUACGAAGGGUGCAAGCGUUACUCGGAAUUACUGGGCGUAAAGCGUGCGUAGGUGGUUGUUUAAGUCUGUUGUGAAAGCCCUGGGCUCAACCUGGGAACUGCAGUGGAAACUGGACAACUAGAGUGUGGUAGAGGGUAGCGGAAUUCCCGGUGUAGCAGUGAAAUGCGUAGAGAUCGGGAGGAACAUCCAUGGCGAAGGCAGCUACCUGGACCAA
rnacentral:rRNA from 1 species